UCGAGUUUUGAAAUGGGUUGUUGCUGGUCUCUUAUGAGGCAUGUGCACACUCAGCUCAUCCACUCUUAAACCCUAUGUGCACCUAUGUAGAGUUUGGUGAAAAUCAGUCGAAAGGCUGAUAAGAUCCUUCUCUAUGUCUUUUAUACAAACGUUUUAGUUAUAGAAUGUUACCUUGCAUUUAAUGCAUUAUAGGUA
rnacentral:misc_RNA from 1 species